rnacentral:rRNA from 1 species
GUGGCCUACGGGGCGCAGCAGUGAGGAAUAUUGGUCAAUGGGCGAGAGCCUGAACCAGCCAAGUCGCGUGAGGUAAGACGGCCCUACGGGUUGUAAACCUCUUUUGUCAGGGAGCAAGAACGGAUACGUGUAUCCGAGCGCGAGUACCUGAAGAAAAAGCAUCGGCUACCUCCGUGCCAGCAGCCGCGGUAAUACGGAGGAUGCGAGCGUUAUCCGGAUUUAUUGGGUUUAACGGGUGCGUCGGCGGGCUGCCCAGUCAGCGGGCAGAUU